AAACGGGAGAGACCCGAAAGGUCGAAAGGGGGAGACUCAAUCUUGUCCGCGCGUCCGGUGCCGCUUUCGGUCCCAAGGAUGUCGCCGGCCGCCGGCCGCGUCGCAAGGCGCGAGCCGGGACGGAGUCGGUGUCACCGGGGCCGGAGGUCCGGCCGCGGCGAGGUGCACUUCUCCCCCCAGUAGGACGUCGCGACCCGUUGGGUGAGUCCGGCCUAAGGCCCGGGAUGAGACCGAGGGGACCGCCGCGCGGUAGCGCGGGCCAACGGUUCCCCGGACCCUGGAUGUCCUGGCCGGCGUCCGACGGCAAACCUCGCGGAGAAGGCCCGCUCCCUCGCAGAGUGAGCGUCCGGCCCGGCGGACAAGCUCGACGCAGGUGCAAGUGGUGCCGUGGCUUCCGCCACGUCCCCGGCUCUCGUCGGCUGCUGGUCCCCGGAGUUCUCGGACUGUGGCCGACUCCCGUCAGCGGCGCUUUUGCUUCGGGUGCUUUCCCGACCCGUCUUGAAACACGGACCAAGGAGUCUAACAUGUGCGCGAGUCGCUGGGAGAAUUUCUAAACCCGGAGGCGCAGUGAAAGCGGGGCGCGGUUCCUCGUGAGCCGCCGCUGGGAAGAUGUCGCCAAUGUAACACCUUCGGUGACCGCACUCCCGGGGCGCCUCGGCUCCGGCCGCAGGCGCACCCCGAGCGCACACGUUGGGACCCGAAAGAUGGUGAACUAUGCCUGGUCAGGAGCGAAGUCCAGGGGAAACCCUGAUGGAGGUCCGCAGCGAUUCUGACGUGCAAAUCGAUCGUCAGAGCUGGGUAUAGGGGCGAAAGACUAA
rnacentral:rRNA from 1 species